UACGUAGGGUGCAAGCGUUGUCCGGAAUUAUUGGGCGUAAAGAGCUCGUAGGCGGUGUGUCGCGUCGGCCGUGAAAACCUGCAGCUUAACUGUGGGCGUGCGGUCGAUACGGGCAUCACUGGAGUUCGGCAGGGGAGACUGGAAUUCCUGGUGUAGCGGUGAAAUGCGCAGAUAUCAGGAGGAACACCGGUGGCGAAGGCGGGUCUCUGGGCCGAUACUGACGCUGAGGAGCGAAAGCGUGGGGAGCGGACAGG
rnacentral:rRNA from 1 species